rnacentral:rRNA from 1 species
CCUACGGGGGGCAGCAGUGAGGAAUAUUGGUCAAUGGGCGCGAGCCUGAACCAGCCAAGUAGCGUGAAGGAUGAAGGUACAGAGUAUCGUAAACCUCUUUUGUCAGGGAACAAAGGCGGGGACGUGUCCCCGGAUGAGUGUACCUGAAGAAAAAGCAUCGGCUAACUCCGUGCCAGCAGCCGCGGUAAUACGGAGGAUGCGAGCGUUAUCCGGAUUUAUUGGGUUUAAAGGGUGCGCAGGCGGUCUGUUAAGUCAGCGGUCAAAGCCCGGGGCUCAACCCCGGCCCGCCGUUGAGACUGGCAGUCUCGAGUUGGAGAGAGGUAUGCGGAAUGCGCGGUGUAGCGGUGAAAUGCAUAGAUAUCGCGCAGAACUCCGAUUGCGAAGGCAGCAUGCCGGCUCCACACUGACGCUGAGGCACGAAAGCGUGGGUAUCGAACAGGAUUAGAUACCCUUGUAGUC